rnacentral:rRNA from 1 species
AUUGAACGCUGGCGGCAGGCCUAACACAUGCAAGUCGAACGAGUGGCGGACGGGUGAGUAAUGUCGGGGCACCUGCCUGAUGGAGGGGGAUAACUACUGGAAACCGUAGCUAAUACCGCAUACCAUCGGAUGUGCCCAGAUUGGAUUAGCUAGUCGGGGGGGUAAAGGCUCACCUAGGCGACGAUCCCUAGCUGGUCUGAGAGGAUGACCGGCCACACUGGAACUGAGACACGGUCCAGACUCCUCAGGGAGGCAGCAGUGGGGAAUAUGCCACAAGGGGCGCAAGCCUGAUGCAGCCAGGCCGCGUGAAUGAAGAAGGCCUUCGGGUUGUAAAGUACUUUCAGCGGGGAGGCGUUACCCGCACAGGAAGCACCGGCUAACUCCGUGCCAGCAGCCGCGGUAAUUC